rnacentral:lncRNA from 1 species
UUUUUUUUUUGUUUUCUACUACGUUUCCCAAUAGGUUGGUGCCGGUAGUGGCAGCAUCUUUGGACCUCGUUCCCCCCUUGGAGGCGCCACGGUGGAACUCUGACCUCCCCCUUGCCCCAAAUCCCUAGGUUCUCCAGGUGAAAAUCUAGCUCCAGUUUGUCCGAAGCACACGAUGGAGGUGUCUUCGUCUUUCCCUCCCUUGGGGGCGUCUCGUUUUUAGACCGAGUCUGCGUGUGUUGGCUUUGCUAUUGCCGUGUUGUUUGGUCUCGUCGGCUGCGUGGAGAACGUUGAAAAAACGCUUUUUAGUUUACUUGUUGGAUGUCGGGGUGGCAGCCCCGGGUUUCAGUGCGGCUGUGGCCCUAUGUGGUGGCGUUGGGGCUUUGCUCCGCGUUGGUGGCAUUCCGGUCCUUCAAGGGUGGUGAGUCAGUCAUGAGGUCGGGGUUUUUGCAUGCUUGUCCCUUCGUGAGUCAUGCGGUCGGGGUUUCUGCAUGCUUGUCCCUUAAUCAAUGUGGUUAGGGUUUUCGUGCAGUUGUCCCUUAUCAAUCGUGUAUGUGUGUCGGGUUUUCGCCCGGUUGUCCUUGAUUAACUGGGCAAUUUUCUUCUUUUUAUUGAAAUGCAUGAAUCCCCUGCCCCUUUCGAGGUGUUCUCGAAAAAAUGGCAGAGCCAUGCAGCAGGCGCUGGUGCUCGUACCUCCAGAGUGCGGCCCCAGGCACCCUGUCUCCUACGGGCUGAACCCAAUUACUAAGCCGAAUAGGCCUAAGCUGCACACUCUUGGCGACACACGCGUAAUUAUUGAAUGUAAUAUGGCCAGGUCUGUCUGGGCGCCAUCUCAAGAGGAGUUGGUCGAGCAUAUGUGCUAAAAGGGAUCCUAACACCAAGAACUGGAUUUUCUCAAUGAUCGCGUCACUGUCUCAUGAGUAGUUCAUUCGUUUGGUGGUGACUAUAUGGCCUAUUUCGAUCGCUAGACGAAAAGCAAUCCACAAGGAGAUUCCAGAGUCCCUUGUCUACUCUUUGCUUUAUUUCCUCUUAUUAACUAAGCUACAGAUCCUCGACAAACCAGCGAGAGAGGACACAAGGACAGCUCGAAUCAGACGAAUGCACCGGGUGGCAUCUCCUAACAAUCUUACCGAGGUCAAUCCGUCAAUGUUGAUGCGGUCAUGUCAAGGAACGAUGGUUUCUGUGCAGUGGGAGCCGUGUGCAGAGACCUUUUCGGCGCUUUUCGGGCGCCUUUGCUGUGUAUUUAGAGGUAUUACAGAUCCAACAAUUUUAGAGGCAAUGAUAGUGAGAGAAGCACUAGCGCAGGCCGAGGAUCUUUAUGUUCAUAGAAUUCUUGUGGCCUCCGAUUGCAAUAUUGUGCUGGACGGCAUCAAACGAGGAAGUGCAACAGACUAUGGGGCGAUUAUCAGAGAAAUUGUUGAUGGAUCAACUCUCUUUCCCUCUGUAAUAUCAUUUAUGAAUAUAUGAGCUUGAAUGUCGAGGCUGACAACAUUACGAAUCAUGCUUUAAUUUAGGGGCUGAUAGUUAUGCUUGCUUUGGAGAGUUUUUAGAAAAGAGGCGCUUGUCCGGCCUUAAACUGAGGCCCUUACAAAUCCAUAAGUCUAACCAUCCAAGGGGCGAAGAAAGCAAAUAAAGGAGAGAUACAAGCCCGUAGGCUGGGACACAACGGCGCAGCGCUGGCGAUCUAACUACAUGAAGAUCAUGGGCUGUCGAGGUAGCAAGCGGCGGCGAAGAUCAGCCGGAGAUGUCUCUCAUGAUGUUCGGCGCAGCUCAGUGCACCUUGCCCGUACCUUUGCUACGAGCUCCUAAACGCGCCCUAUGUCCUUUGUUUUUGCCAGUAGCUUCCAGAGCUGCAUAAAAGACAUAAUUUUGUACAAAAGAUCAGCUGGAUGCUUGAUGAAUUGUCCCUCUAUUAGAGCUUUACUUCUUGUGGUCUAGAGAGCCCAAGCAAUGGCCCUGAAGCCUAGCCAUGUCAUCUGUCUAUCUCCCCCAGAUGUGGCCGCUAACCGAUAGAAUUCUGAGAACCCGCUCGGAUUCCACGAGGACCUUGUCACCGACCUCACCCCACUCCACACGAAUCGAGCCAUUAUAUACAUCUAAAAAGGAUAUGGUCAUGGUCUUCGGGUUCACCGCAGCAUAUACAUUUGCCAUCGCCCGGGCCCCUUCUUUAUAUCUCGCGCCACUUGCCACAAGAAAAUUUUGAUUUUGGCUGGGAGUCUUGCCUUCCAUAUUCCUGAUAGGUCACAAGGGGUUGUGGAUUUGAAAAUUUCUCUAUAUAAAGGUCCAGUCGAGAAGCACCACAAAGGUUCAAGACGCCAUAUAACUUCGUCGCGACCAAGAGUAAUUUGCUGCCCUCUUAAUUUCUUUCUCAAUUGUUCCCGCUCGUUAAUUUCAGCGGCCCCCAAGGAUCGACGGAAUUGGGGCACCCAUUGACCAUGUUGCCAUAUUUCCGCCACUUUCGCCUCCCGGUUCAUCGCGAUGGCAAACAAGGUCGGGAACAUAUCGCAGAAUCGAUCAUUAUUACACCACUUAUCCAGCCAAAAACAUGUUGCACGACCGUUAUGAACCACGAAUUGGGUUCUUAGGCGGAGAAGUGGUUGUACCUUCCUUACAUCCCUCGCAAACUGAGAGAGUUUUGCGCUUCUCCUAAAAUCCACCCUGUCCUGGACUACGUAUUUCCGGGUAAAGAUAUCCAACCAUAUGCCUCCUUGUCCCGUUAGGACUUUCCACGCCCACUUCGUCAUGAGGCACCAAUUCAUUACUUUGGUGUUAAUAACACCCAAGCCCGCAACCUCCUUUGGCUGACAAAUGUUGUCCCAACUCACCAUGUGGUAUUUUUGCCUCCCGUUUUCUUUAGCGCAAAAGAACCGGGAGCAAACUUUAUUCAGUUUAUCAUGUAUCCAUCCCGAAGGAGAUAAAACCCCAUGACGAACAUAGGGAUGUUCGUAAGGCAACCGUUGAUAAGGACAAGCCGGCCUCCCGACGCCAAGAGCUUGCCCUGCCAAGGCUCCACACGCGCGGCCAUUUUAUCGACCAUUGGCUGGAACUUCUCCAUAUAUAUAGCCCUCGCAGAGAUGGGCAUACCUAAAUAUUUUAUUGGUAUAGACCCGAGCUCACAAUUCAUUAUAUGAGCCGCCCUAAGUUGCGAUUCAAGAUCCCCUCAUGUGACGAUGGCCUCGCUCUUUCGAAGUUAAUCUUUAGGUCUGACAUCUCCUCAAAGCACAUUAAGAGGAACUUGAGAUUCAGAAUCUCACGUCCGAAGUUUUUAAUGAAAAUAAGGGUGUCAUCCGCGUACUGUAGAUGGUUUGGAGAGUUGGGUGAUCUUCUUUUCAUUCCUGUAAACAGUGUGAUGAUUUAAUGAAGUUUUGCGAGUUUGUCUAAGAAAAAGGUUAAGAAAUGUUUAGAAGCAGCCGACGCUUUUUCCUACUCCCCUCCGUCUAGGUAUAUAAGUCAUCGUACGAAAGCUAAAUAAUUCCUAAAACACUUAGGCGCGGUGCAUUAACUCUUAUCUCGUUUCUUAUUUCUUGACAUAAAUAAAGGAGCCAACCAAUAAGAGAUAUGGGGCAUGUAUGCUUUCAAUGACUUGAGACUAUCAAACACAACAUGUAAUUGUCAAUUUAUUGCAUGCAAUAUCAUUAAUUAGCAAAUGAACAUUAAGAGGGUGCUUGAAUACGUUUUAGUCCCAUGACUAAAAGUAGUGGGACUAAAACUUGCUAGCCUCACCCAUGCUUGGAUCCAAAUACUAAAGAGACUAAAAUGAAGUUAUUGAGCAUUUAUUAUCCUCCAAAUCAUCCAAUCCAGAACUCGCAUGUGCUAAAGGAGAGGAAUUAAAUGAGGAAAGAGAGGGCUAAUACAUAUUUUAGUAGGUUUCAUGUGACUAAAAAGUUUUAGCCUCAAGACUAGUUCUAGCCUCUCUUUAGUCAGGGGUGCUUGGAACUUUAGCCUCUAAAAAAGACUAUUUUUAGUCAGACUAAAAAUAGUCCCUUGGAUCCAAGCAGGCCCUAAGUUAUCUUUUUUUCCUCCACCUUGUUCAUGGUGCACCUAGAGGGAGUAGCAAUAAAACAGAGCUAGUUUAUUUAGCAUCAAAUGCAAAGUACAGUUAGCCUGAAUUGUACCUGAUUCGUUUACAACCCUCAGAAAAGAUGGUGCCACCUGCCACGUCUCGUCAUCUGCAGAGGGAUCGUGGACCCGACCAGGCCAUGACACUACCAUAGACUGCUCGAGUCUGCGGCCAUGUUGUCUGCCUUCUUGCAGAAUGACACACAACCGGCGUACAGUUGACCGGUGCAGAACAUUCAGAUUUGCUGCAGCUUGAGUAGACUGACCUCAUUGCACCACUCGAUAACAAAAUUUCUAUGCACAGCAUUAAGUGCUAGCAGUAUACUUAGACGUGAUUACACCCGUCCCUAAGCGUGCGUGCAGCCACGGUCACAGCGAGAGCGCGACGAGGAUGGCCUGGCGGCACCGCGCGCGCGCCGUCUCGACGCGCUCCUUGACGGUCUCCUCCUUGACGGCGGCUUUGACCAUCUCCACGUCCAUCUCCACCAGCCGCAGCACGCGGAAGAGCUCCGUCGCCACGCGCUCGUCCACGCCGCCCUCGGCCAUCAGGAUCUCCGCCUCCUCCCGGGCGCGCUCCGUCACCACGCCCGCCACCGUGCCCAGCAGCGCGCCCGACCCGUACCGCCCGCGCUCCAUCAGCCCCUCCAGCUUCUCCAGAAAGUCGGCGAUGGCCCACCCCUUGGGCUUCUCCAGGGGGAGAUUCUUGGUGCGCUUCCACCCGAUCUCGUAGUUGGGCGGCUCCUCCUGCGUCAGCGCCGUCCGACGGAGGCGGCCGUCCGUCGAGAUGGCCGACGGCACGCGCCGGACCACCGAGAAGGAGGUGGUCGCAGUCGCCGACGGCGGGGUCUCGUCGUCGGGGAUGCGGUGGGGGUUGGCGUCGGCCUCGUCGGGAGUGGGUUCUUGCUCCUGGUUGCCUUCUUGCUGGGCAGGCUUGGGGGUGGAGGUGGUCGGUUUGGGCGCCGCGGUGCAGCGUACGGCGGUGAUGGGGGCGAUAGGGACUUGUGGUUUGGGAGUGGAGAGGAAAGGUUUGGGAGGGAGGAGAGGGCGGAGGAAGGAGGCGGCCAUGGCGGAUGAGGCGUGGUGGGAAAUGGUGAAGCGAAUGGCUGUGCAGUUUUUACGUGAUAGAUAGGUUUGGAGAUAAGCUUACAGAUGCGCUCUGUCGCCGCGCGAGAACAGAGAAGAGACAUCAGACUCGAGCUGGAUCGAAUCGAUAUUUGUGGGAGCGGGAUUAAAUCAGGAAAAAGGCUUCUAGUCUACGCGCCACAUAGUGUGCAUUUCGUAGGAAGAGCAAGCCCCAGCGACACAGUGAGCCGGCCCAUCUGAGCCAAGCGUACAGUAGAACUCGGAUCUGGUUCUGUGAACAUUCUAGAAGAUUCCGCCUGCGUUUGUUUGGUUUUCUUCAUCUUCGUCUUUCUCUUUAUUCUCUUUAUAUGGUUUUUUCUUCUGGUUUUCAUCUACUCCCUCCGUUCCUAAUACGGAGCAAAAUUAGUGAAUCUACACUCUAAAAUAUGUCCAUAUACAUUUGUAUGUGAUAGUCCAUUUGAAAUCUCUAAAAAGACAAAUAUUUGAAAUCUCUACAGAUUGGUCUGGGAAUCAAGCGAGCCCAAGCCGAUCUAACGAUCAAAUGAGCGUGGUCUAGCAAUCAAGAGAGCGAGCGGUCGAGGGGGUGCUUAAUGGGCGCCCAAUCGAGCGUUCGCAUGAGCGCCCACGUGCAAAACCAGCAAUGUAAGCAUUGAGGAAGAGGUCUCUCCAAUCUACUGACUAAUCACAAGCCUCGUUCGGUUGCGCAGGUGACAGGUGCCCCAUGGGCCCACACACUACUUCUUCGUUUACCUUAGGCUGGUCACAAUGGAAAGUAGUAUCAUGUAUAUGAUACUGGUGUAUGAUAUUACCUUCAUGGUACAUAGUACAUAAUUUGAUAUCAUAGUGACUCCAUCUGUUGUCAUUUCAUGACACAUACUAAUACAUCAUUUAAUAUGAUACAGUACCCUAUCAUGAUACUUAAUCUUCUCAAGUUGAUAUGCAUGAUAUUCCCUGUGAUACUCCCAUUGUAACCAGUGUUAACCCUUCCUUGCCUGCAUUUGCUCCUUCCUUGUGAGACAUUGCAGAUGUUACUGUCUCAUGCCUAUUGUUGCAAAGUUGCACCCUACCAUUGCAACACAACCAGUGCUUAUAACAUGUGCUUGGUGUUGCAGGGCCCAACCACACGUUGUUAAAAAAUGAAUUUCUUGCAUUUGAAGAUUUGUGAAAAGAUGACACUCCCCUCUUCCCCUCGCGCGUCAUCGGGGAACUCCUUGUCGCCUCCCCUGCCUUCUCCACCCUCCUGCGCCGCUAGACUGCCUUCCUUGACCCACCCCAUCGAGCCCAACCCAUCUCGCAAGCCCUCUGGGCUGGUUUCGCCUCCUCUCUCUACCCUACGUGGACUUCUACGUCAAGUCAGUUGGUCGGGAACAUCCCGCCCCCCUGGCGCCCAAGCGGCACCUUUAAGGCUUUCGGCCUCUAUUAUUUUCUAGGUUGUGGUCUAUCCUCAUGGUCCUGGUGAAGGGAAUAUGCCCUAGAGGCAAUAAUAAAGUUAUUAUUUAUUUCCUUAUAUCAUGAAAAUGUUUAUUAUUCAUGCUAGAAUUGUAUUAACCGGAAACAUAAUACAUGUGUGAAUACAUAGACAAACAUAGUGUCACUAGUAUGCCUCUACUUGACUAGCUCGUUGAUCAAAGAUGGUUGUGUUUCCUAACCAUAGACAUGAGUUGUCAUUUGAUUAACGGGAUCACAUCAUUAGGAGAAUGAUGUGAUUGACUUGACCCAUUCCGUUAGCUUAGCACUUGAUCGUUUAGUAUGUUGCUAUUGCUUUCUUCAUGACUUAUACAUGUUCCUACAACUAUGAGAUUAUGCAACUCCCGUUUACCGGAGGAACACUUUGUGUGCUACCAAACGUCACAACGUAACUGGGUGAUUAUAAAGGAGCUCUACAAGUGUCUCCGAAGGUACAUGUUGAGUUGGCGUAUUUCGAGAUUAGGAUUUGUCACUCCAAUUGUCGGAGAGGUAUCUCUGGGCCCUCUUAGUAAUGCACGUCACUAUAAGCCUUGCAAGCAAUGUAACUAAUGAGUUAGUUACGGGAUGAUGCAUUACGUAACGAGCAAAGAGACUUGCCGGUUGAUACGUCUCCAACGUAUCUAUAAUUUAUGAAGCAUUCAUGCUAUUUUAUUAAAUGUUUUGAAUGGUUACGGGCUUUAUUAUACACUUUUAUAUUACUUUUGGGACUAACCUAUUAACCGGAGGCCCAGCCCAUAUUACUGUUUUCUUGCCUAUUUUAGCAUUUCGAAGAAAAGGAAUAUCAAACGCAGUCCAAACAGAAUGAAACCUUCGGGAGCGUGAUUUGUGGAACGAAUAUGAUCCAGGAGACUUGGAGUUGAAGGCAAGGAAGCUUCGAGGUGGCCACAAGGGUGGGGGGCGCACCCACCCCUCCUGGGUGCCCCCCUGUCUCGUGGACCCCUCGAGGAUCCCCCGACCGACUUCUUUCGCCUAUAUAUUCCCAUAUACCCUAAAACCAUCGAAGAACAAGAUAGAUCAAGAGUUCCGCCACCGCCAAGCCUCUAUAGCCACCAAAAACCUCUCGGGAGCCCAUUCCGGCACCCUGCCAGAGGGGGAUCCCUCACCGGUGGCCAUCUUCAUCAUCCCGGCGCUCUCCAUGACGAGGAGGGAGUAGUUCACCCUCAGGGCUGAGGGUAUGUACCCGUAGCUAUGUGUUUGAUCUCUCUCUCUCUCUCUCUCUCUCUCUCUCUCUCUCUCGUGUUCUCUUUACGGCACGAUCCUGAUGUAUCGCGAGCUUUGCUAUUAUAGUUGGAUCUUAUGAUGUUUCUCCCCCUCCACUCUCUUGUGAUGGAUUGAGUUUUCCCUUUGAAGUUAUCUUGUAGGAUUGAGUCUUUAAGGAUUUGAGAACACUUGAUGUAUGUGAGUAAAUUGCUGAAAGCCACCACAUUUGUGGCACGGAUACUGCAAAACCACCACUAUUGCCGAAAAUUUCAAAAAACCACCACUUCCUCGGCAAGUGAGUAACAAAAAGCACUAAACAUGCUGUGAGCCGCGACUAACUGAAAACCUGACUUGUCGGGCCCACCUGUCGGAGCCACGUGGCAAAGGGGAAAUGGAAUGGCGGAAACGGCCGUUUGGACACUGCUAGUUAAGCGCUGCGCGCCGGCCCUGGUGCUCUCAUUCCCCUCCCUCUCUUCUCUGUUGCGCGCGCAACCAUGGCAAGUACUCCCUCCGGCGAUGUCGAGGGUGGUGACGACGGCGGCUCCAGAUCCGGACGGAGUCACGGGCGGGACCUGCUUGGGGUCGACUAUGAGUCAUCCUCCUCAGAGGGUAGCCCACUAUCGCCGUGGCGCGGGCAGAGGGCAGGUGCGGUGGCUGCGGGGGCGGCGGCGGCGGCUGCAGGGGCGGCGGCGCCGCCUGCUGCUCCAUUUGGAUCCAGAUCCAUUCAAGCUCAAGGCGCGGGAGACCAAGGAGAUGAGGAUGAGCCGCCAUCUUCUUGCCGUGCAGGCAAGGGUACCGCUGUGGCGCGGACGCCGUCGGCUGCAGCAGUCGUCCCUACUAACGUCGGCGACACCACGUACGGCCUCUAUCUCCUUCUCCUCUGCUUUCGUUUCAUGAUAUAUUUUUCGUUCUUCAGGUUUAGGUCGAUCUAGGGUUUGAGUACAGAUUAGAACCUACAAUUAUUUUGUUCUCCAAAUUUUGUGCAUAUUUACAUUGUUAGGAUUGCAGUUUGCUUGUGUUCUACAAAUUUAGGUAAUUACACUGUUAGGCUUAAAUUCCAGUAGUACAAUGUGUUGUUCAAAUUUAUGUUAUAGUAACUUGUACAUUUUAAUUGGUAUUAUAGGUCGAGCUAUGAGCAGUGGGACGUGCAUAUUGAUUUUGAAGGGAUUAAAUACAUCAGGACAAAGUUCUUUAAGAAAGACAUAAGAUAUUACAAUCUUAUGUAUGUGAUGCUUGACAAUGGGUAUAGUUUUUCAGACUGCCUCUAUUACAUGAGCUGUGGUGGAAUAGGAUUGGAUGGUUUCAAACUGCUUGACAGUCAAAUGAAGGUGGAUGAAAUGCUUAGGCAAAACCAGGACAUCAGGAGGAUCACAUUGUCAGUUACUAAGGGCAAGAGGCAGCAGGCAAUUGUUGUGUCUCCAGCAAAGAAGGGAAAGAGAAAGGCAGCAGAACUAGUUCAGAUAUCUGAUGAAGAAUAUAGCAAUGAUCCUGAUAUAGUGUUUGCAGUCAGUGAAGAUGGUGUGGCCCAUAAGGAAUUUGGUGAUUAUGGUGGUUCAAGUUCAGGCCCUUGCACAGAUGAGUUUUUGUUCUUUGGCACACAGCAGAGUGUAAAUUACCAGCCCAUCCAAACUAUGCCACCUCCCCAGACAGAAGACAGUGCCAAUUAUGCAGACAUGGAUCUUGAUUCAGAAAGUGAGGAGGGUUUUCUUUUGUCUCAAUGCACCUAGGGAGGGUUUUCUAAAUGGAUGUAGACCUUUCAUUGGUUUGGAUGGAUGUUUCAUAAAGCUUACAACUGGAGCACAAAUCCUAGCAGCUACUGGUAGGGAUGCCAACAACAACAUGUAUCCCAUUGCUUUUGGAAUUGUAGGAGUGGAGGACACACCCAGUUGGAGCUGGUUUCUCACCCAACUUAAGUAUGCUCUGGGAGGCACAGAAGAGGGAAAGUUUGGCAAAUACACCAUCAUGUCAGAUAGGCAGAAGGUCAGUGAUCUAUUUUCAUAUUUUGUGCCUUAAGUAUGCUCUAAUUGUUUAUUAGUUAGUGAUUGUUUGAACUUAAGAUUGUCACCUAGUUACUUUCUUUUGUGCCUUAAGUAUGCUCAAUUUGUUUAUUAGUUAGUGAAACCUAGUUACUUUCUUUUGAAACCAGGGCCUGCUAAAUGUUGUCAAUGCUGUAUUUCCAAACUGCCCACAAAGAUUUUGUUUAAGGCACAUUUAUGCAAAUUUUCAAAGAGCUGGAUUUAGAGGUGAAGAUCUGGAAAAAUGCAUGGACAGUGCUAGCUAUUCCUACACAAAGCAUGGUUUUGAUGUAGCCAUGGCCAAUUUGAAGAAUGAGCGUGAGGAUGCAUGGAGGUGGUUAUCUGGUAUUCCAGUACACACAUGGGCUAGGCAUGAAAUGGACACAAAUUGCAAAACAGACCUGGUGGUCAAUAACAUAAGUGAGGUCUUCAAUAAAUAUAUCUUGGAUGUUAGAAACAAACCAAUAGUGACAAUGAUUAAUGGAAUCAAAGACAAGUUGCUAGUCAGGUUUGAUGGAAAAAGAGAAAGUGCAGCCUCUUCUAGAUGGGAAAUAGCUCCAACAUAUGCAGAGCAACUGGAGAUGAGCAAGAAAUAUCAAAGAGAUUGCAAAGCAAUUAGGGCAGGGCCUAACCUGUGGCAAGUAAGCAGUGGGCCAAAGACCUAUGCUGUGAACCUUGAGGAGCACACUUGUGGAUGCAGGAAGUGGGACAUGUCAGGGUUGCCAUGCAACCAUGGUUGCAGUGCAAUUUGCAAGGCCAAGAUGCAACCUGAGGAUUUUGUAAGUCCUUUCUUGAGGAAAGCAAUGUAUUUGGAGGCAUACAAACCAAUAGUGUAUCCAGUUCCUGGAGAAGAUGCUUGGGUCAAGUCAGGAAAACCUGAUAUUGAGCCUCCUGUAUUCCACAAAGAGGACCAGAGUGGAAGAAAAGAAGAAAAGAGGAAGAAGGGAAGGUUUGAAGUUCCUAAACCAAAAGAUACCUCUAGGAUGGCUACAAUCAGAUGUGGCAACUGUAGGUUAAUGGGCCACAGGUUUACUAAUUGUGGACAACCUUUGAGGCCUGAUCUCCAGCUGAGGAAAAAUAGAAGCAUGGUACAUAUUUCUUAAUCAUUAUAUCUGAUUUAGCUUAUUUAGAUUUUAAUUGUUGUUUGUUUUAAUAACUGCAGGAAAAGAGAAGGCAAAAGGCACAAUCCUACACUCCACCUGAUGCUACUGCUGCUCCUAUGGCACCAAGAGCUGCUCCUAGGGCACCAAGAGCUGCUAGUAGGGCACCAAGGGCUGCUUUCUCAGCACCAAGGCCAGCAUCUAGGCCUCCAUGUGGAGAAGGGACUUCAUCUGCUGCUGGUACAACUACAUCUACAUCAAUUGUUGUUGCUGCUGCUAAAAACAGAGGUCAGUGAGAGGUGGAAGAGUUGGUGGAGCAUCUAAUGCUGCAACAGGUUCCAGGAAGAAACCUCAGAAAUAUGCAAGACUCCAGAGCUACUUCACAGCAAGUGGAAAUGUGUGAUCUUUGAUAUCUGCAAGUGUUUGCAACUUUUGGGGCUAGAACCCUUGUAUCUGUCCUGACAACCUUGGAUGUGUGAUGAUUUGAGUCCUGUGAACCUGUGUUUGAAUUGAGGUCAUGUGAACCUGGUUAAAUUGAAUCCUUUGAACCUAUGUGGUAAUUUUAGUCCUGUGAACCUAUGUUAUGUGUUAACCUAUGUUAUUUGUGAUCAAGCCUUCAUGCUGUUCUGGAGUUAUGUUGAUCUAGCAUAAUUGUUGUUGGUUUUUGGUUAAGCCUAAAUGUUGUUAUUGUAGUAGAAUUAUUGUGGGUUUUGAGUGCAGCCUAAAUGCUGUUAUUAUACUAGAAUUAUUGUUGGUUUUGGGCCAAUCCUAAAUGUUGUUAUUGAAGCGGAAUUAUUGUGGGUUUUUGGUCAAGCCAAAAUGUUUUGGGUGAUCAAAGCCUCGACGAUAACCAAAACUACCUAACCAUACAAUAGGGGUCAUCGAGCCUCGACGACAACCAAAACUACCUAACCAUAUAAUAGGGGUCAUCGAGCCUUGACGACAACCAAAACUACCUAACCAUACAAUAGGGGUCAUCGAGCCUCGACGAUAACCAAAACUACCUAACCAUACAAUAGGGGNNNNNNNNNNNNNNNNNNNNNNNNNNNNNNNNNNNNNNNNNNNNNNNNNNNNNNNNNNNNNNNNNNNNNNNNNNNNNNNNNNNNNNNNNNNNNNNNNNNNNNNNNNNNNNNNNNNNNNNNNNNNNNNNNNNNNNNNNNNNNNNNNNNNNNNNNNNNNNNNNNNNNNNNNNNNNNNNNNNNNNNNNNNNNNNNNNNNNNNNNNNNNNNNNNNNNNNNNNNNNNNNNNNNNNNNNNNNNNNNNNNNNNNNNNNNNNNNNNNNNNNNNNNNNNNNNNNNNNNNNNNNAUAGGGGUCAUUGAGCCUCGACGACAACCUAAACUACCUUACCAUACAAUAGGGAUCAUCAAGCCUCGACGACAACCUAAACUACCUUACCAUACAAUAGGGGUCAUCGAGCCUCGACGACAAUCUAAACUACCUUACCAUACAAUAGGGGUCAUCGAGCCUCGACGACAACCUAAACUACCUACUCCAUAGACAGAAACAACUAAAACCACCUACUCCCUAAACAGAAACAACCAAAACCACCUACCACCUACUCCCUGGAGUACAUCUUCAUCAACAGGUUCAACAAAAAUGUGGUAGAAAUAGCAUUAUCCAGCAACACAAAGUAAUCCAGCAUCACAAAUUAAUCCAGCAACACAAAUUAAUAGCAUUAUCCAGCAACACAAAUUAGUACAAAUGUCUUGCACUUUUAGUGACAGUGACACACAUAGCAGAUAGAGUACUCUAGCAGAUACAACUACAAUAACAUUGAAUCAUUCAUCAACUAUCUCUUUGAUCUUCCUGAUCUUCCCCUUGGUGGCCUCCUUCUCAUUGAACAGAUCACCUAUAGUGUACUCUAGGUGCCUUUUCUCUUGCUUCCACUUCUCCUUCUCCUCCAACAACAUGGACCUCUCCUGCUUGAUCUUGCCCAUCUCCUGCACAAGCUUCACCUUCUCUUCCUUCUCUUGAUCUCUCUCUUUCUCUGCUUUGAGCCUUAGCACUUGAUGAAUGUUAGUGUCUGACUUGUCAGCCAAGUUCUUUUUCUCAAUCUGUUCCUGCAGGUCACUAAUAACCAACCUUGCAUUGCCUAACUGGGUAAUUGCAUCCUCCUUGUCAGCCACCAUUUUGGCAAAGUCAACUUUAAAAAACCUGAGGUCAUGUUCCAUCUUCCUCUUGUCUUCCAUUACCUUCACUACUUCUUCAGCAUUAAGUACAUUCUGCCUCAACCUAUUGGUCGUAUCAUCCUCAUACAUAGUCCAGAUGGUAUUUAAAGCUUGCUUCAAUUGGACUGGCCACUCAGGGUCAAUCCAGUCCACAAAGUUGCACUUUGGUACAUCCUAUGAAUGUGUGAAGAAAGGAAAUAUAAUUAAACCAAUUUCUACUACUGCAUUUUAGAAGUACUGCUUUUAGAAAAAAAAUAACAGGAACUCAGCAGUUCAGUGGAUUCACAUACUGGAAAUAAAAUAACAUGUACCUAAACUGCCUACUACUGGAAAUAAAAUAUAGAGCUAAAAUGAUUUCAAAAAACAAUGGCCACAACAUAUAAGAAAUUGGAAAUUGCCUAAUUUCAGACUUAUUGCAUCAGUCAACUCAGCAGUUCAGUGCAUUCACAUAUUACAGACCAAUUCUAUGAGUAAUGAAUUCACAUUUUCACAAAAUCACUUCAACACUUUAAGAACUAAUUGAACUGGUAAGAAAAUCACCUUCUUUGCACACCCCAGGAUUCUCCUGCCGCUAUCAGUCCAUUCAAAGGCAACAAACUUCUCACACGGGGCACGAUGCUCACAACGUGCAGGGUGAUUCAAAGCAAUGCCGCUCCAGUCAGUGGACUCCAUUUUGGCAGGUACCUAACCACAGGGAAAAUGAAUUCACAUGCUAUCGGGAAGAAAUUCCCCUUUCUCCAUAACCCUAACCCUAGAUGCGAUGCGCAUGAGCAGAAACUUACCCGGCUCACAUCGUCAGAGGAAGAGUCGGAACAGUCGGAAGGCUCAGACCAAGAAACCAUGUCUCCCCUCCCGUCAGUGGUGCGAAGCUGCUCGCAACGGCAGCGGCGGCGGCGGUAGUAUCGGCGGCAGUGGCAGAGAAGAGAGCGGUUGGGGAGGAAUGCCCUAACGCGCGCGCGACCAGCGCUUAACUAGCGGUGUCCAAACGGCCGUUUCCGCCAUUCCAUUUCCCCUUUGCCACGUGGCUCCGACAGGUGGGCCCGACAAGUCAGGUUUUCAGUUAGUCGCGGCUCACAGCAUGUUUAGUGCUUUUUGUUACUCACUUGCCGAGGAAGUGGUGGUUUUUUGAAAUUUUCGGCAAUAAUGGUGGUUUUGCAGUAUCCGUGCCACAAAUGUGAUGGCUUUCAGCAAUUUACUUGAUGUAUGUCUUGCCGUGCUUAUCUGUGGUGACAAUGGGAUAUCACGUGAUCCACUUGAUGUAUGUUUUGGUGAUCAACUUGCGGGUUCCGCCCAUGAACCUAUGCAUAGGGGUUGGCACACGUUUUCGUCUUGACUCUCCGUUAGAAACUUUGGGGGCACUCUUUGAAGUACUUUGUGUUGGUUGAAUAGAUGAAUCUGAGAUUGUGUGAUGCAUAUCGUAUAAUCAUGCCCAUGGAUACUUGAGGUGAUAAUGGAGUAUCUAGGUGACAUUAGGGUUUUGGUUGAUUUGUGUCUUAAGGUGUUAUUCUAGUAUGAACUCUAUGAUAGAUUGAACGGAAAGAAUAGCUUCAUGUUAUUUUACUAUGGACUCUUGAAUAGAUAGAACAGAAAGGAUAACUUUGAGGUGGUUUCGUACCCUACCAUAAUCUCUUCAUUUGUUCUCCGCUGUUGGUGUCUUUGGAGUGACUUUUUGUUGCAUGUUGAGGGAUAGUUAUGUGAUCCAAUUAUGUUAUUAUUGUUGAGAGAACUUGCACUAGUGAAAGUAUGAACCCUAUGCCUUGUUUCCUACCAUUGCAAUACCGUUUACGCUCACUUUUAUCAUUAGUUACCUUGCUGUUUUUAUAUUUUCAGAUUACAAAUAUCUUUAUCUACUAUCCAUAUUGCACUUGUAUCACCAUCUCUUCGCCGAACUAGUGCACAUAUACAAUUUACCAUUGUAUUGGGUGUGUUGGGGACACAAGAGACUCUUUGUUAUUUGGUUGUAGGGUUGCUUGAGAGAGACCAUCUUCAUCCUACGCCUCCUAUGGAUUGAUAAACCUUAGGUCAUCCACUUGAGGGAAAUUUGCUACUGUGCUAUAAACCUGUGCACUUGCAGGCCCAACAACGUCUACAAGAAGAAGGUUGUGUAGUAGACAUCAAGCUCUUUUCUGGCGCCGUUGUCGGGGAGGUGAGUGCUUGAAGGUAUAUCUUUAGAUCUUCCAAUCGAAUCUUUUUGUUUCUUGUUUUAUCACUAGUUUAGUUUAUAAAAGAAAACUACAAAAAAAUGGAGUUAAGUUUGUCUCAUAUGCUUCAACUUUUUAAUAUCUUUCGUGAGUAUGAUGAAAAAGAAAAUUAUGCUCAAGUGCUAGAAGAAGAAGUCUAUAAAAUGCUUGAUACUAAAUCUUUGAAUGAUGAGCAUGAUUGCAAUGUUGUUAGUAUGAAAACCUUGAAUAUCCAUGAUGCUAAUGAUAUGCAAAGCCACAAGCUUGGGGAAGCUAUGUUUGAUGAAGAUGAUUUUUUUGUCCCCCAAAUUUUGAUGAGCAAAUUUGUUAUGAUGAUAGCAUGCCUCUUACCUAUGAUGAUUAUAUUGAUGAAAGUGGGUUUGGAAGAGUGUCAACUUUAGGAAGUAGUGAUCCCACUAUUUUGGAGGAUGUUGAAUCUUAUAAUAUUUAUGAAAGUGGAUUUGGAAGAGUGUCAACUUUAUUUAGUGAUGAUUCCACUAUCUUGGGAGAGGUUUCAAUUGAUUAUGAUGAGAACAAAGUUGCUAAUUAUGAUGAUUAUUGUGAUGAAACUUAUGCUAUAAAAAGUAGUGAUGAUUAUAUUUAUAAAACUUGUCAUGAUUAUGAUUACCCUUUUUCUUAACAUUACUCUUUUAAUGUGGAAACAAGUUUUAGUAUUCAAGUCUCUUGUGAUACUCCCACUACUAUUCAUGAGAAGAAAUUUGCUUAUGUGGAGAGUAGUAAAUUUUCUAUGCAAGUAGAUCAUGAAAAGAAUGCUUUAGGUGCUGGUUAUAUUGUUGAAUUCAUUCAUGAUGCUACUGAAAAUUAUUAUGAGGGAGGAACAUAUGCUUGUAGGAAAUGCAAUAAUGUCAAGUUUCCUCUCUAUGUGUUGAAAAUUUGAAGUUAUGCUUGUCUUGCCUACCUAUGCUAGUUGAUUAUUGUUCCCAUAAGUUGUUUGCUCACAAAAUCCCUAUGCAUAGGAAGUGGGUUAGACUUAAAUGUGCUAGUCAUAUGCUUCAUGAUGCUCCCUUUAUGUUUCAGUUCUUAUCUUUUAUGUGAGCAUCAUUGUCAUCAUCAUGCCUAGCUAAAAGGCAUUGAAGAAAAGCGCUUGUUGGGAGACAACCCAAUACUUAUCAUUACUGUUUUUGUGUGUUCACAUGAUUAUGCUACUGUAUUAAUCAUGUUUUAUAGCUUUUGUUUCAAUAAAGUGCCAAGUAAGACCUUUAUGAUAGCUUACGGUGAUAGUUGUGUUGAUCCUGCUGAGAAUCAGAAACUUUUGCAUCCAGUAAAUUAGUUUUGAUAAUUCACAGAGACGUGCUUCUGAUCGGAUUAUUUUUGAUAUGGAUUGGUACACAAAUUUAUUAGGACUCCCUAAUUUGGUAGGAUUUUUGGAGUUCCAGAAGUAUACGUUUGAUACAGAUUACUCCAGACUGUUCUGUUUUUGACAGAUUCUGUUUUCUAUGUGUUGUUUGCUUAUUUUGAUGAAUCUAUGAGUAGUAUCGGAGGGUAUGAACCAUAGAGAAGAUGGAAUAAAGUAGAUAUUACACCAAUAUGAAUUUAGAAUGAGUUCAUUACAGUACCUAAGUGGUGGUUUUAUUUUCUUAUACUAACGGAGCUUACGAGUUUUCUGUUGAGUUUUGUGUUGUGGAGUUUUCAAGUUUUGGGUAAAGAUUCUAUGGACUAUGGAAUAAGGAGUUGCAAGAGCCUAAGCUUGGGGAUGCCCAAGACACCCCAAGGUAAUAUUCAAGGACAACCAAGAGCCUAAGCUUGGGGAUGCCCCGGAAGGCAUCCCCUCUUUCGUCUUUGUUCAUCGGUAACUUUACUUGGAGCUAUAUUUUUAUUCACCACAUGAUAUGUGUUUCGCUUGGAGCGUCAUUUUCUUUUGUUAGUAUUUUCUUGAUGUUAUUUAUAAUAAUGUUUUACAUCUAUAUUUUCAAUAAAAAUGACAAGGAUAGCCUUUACCAUGCUUAUUUUACUAGUAUACAUGUUGCUGUUUGAAAACAGAAAGUUUACCGCUGUUGCAAAAAUUCCCUAGAAAAUUCAGAGAAUGGUAUAAUGUUGAAACUUUUUUCAUAAUGAUCUCUGAUAAAUCUUAUACAGCGUAGUACUUUUUCAUAAUUUUUUGAGUUAGGGAAGUAUGAUGAAUCUUGCAUUCUUUACAGAUUAUACUGUUUUGGCAUAUUGCUGUUAUGUUUGCAUAUGUUUGCUUGUUUAAUGAUUCUAUUUGAGGAUAGGAGUAUUAAAUAUGCAGAGGCAUUUAGUAUGCAAUGUUGAAUAAUAAUUUUAGUGAUUUGUUACAGUAGAAAAUGAUAAGGUUUUUGCAUUGGUUUAUACUAACCUAUCUCACGAGUUCUUGUUGAGUUUGGUGUGGAUGAAGCUUUCGAGAUUUAGGAAACCGAGAUAUAAAAGGAAUUAAGGAGACACAAAAGCUCAAGAUUGGGGAUGCCCAAGGCACCCCAAGAUAAUAUUUCAAGAAGUCUCAAGCAUCUAAGCUUGGUGAUGCCCCGGUAGUCAUCCCACCUUUCUUCUUCAACAACUAUCGGUUAGUACCGGUUAAGCCUAAGUUUUUGCUUCUUCACAUAAGUUGUGCUAUCCUUGCAAUGUCAUUUUAUUUUGUUUUGCUUGCUAUUUGAAUACAAUACCAAGAUCUGAAAUUCUUAAAUGAGAGAGACUCUUCACAUAGUUACAUAAUUAUUUAGCUACUCAUUGAUCUUCACUUAUAUCUUUUUGGAGUAGUUUGUCAUUUACUCGUGUGCUUCACUUAUAUCCUAUGAGUAAAUGGUUGAAUGAGUUGAUUGUCAUACAUCUGAAUUUAUAUAUGUUUCAUUUGCUUACCCCAUGGGGAGUAAUGACUUCACAUCUAAGAAGUAGAGGUUGUAAAUUUAUUGAAGGUUAGCAAGCAUUGUAUUGGUCAUUUGAACAAUUCAUGAAAGAAUAUUGAAGGAAGAGAGAUGUCACAUAUAAAUAUACUAUCUUAUACAUCUUUUAUAAUUGUGAGCACUCAUUAAGUAUGACAUGCUAAAGAGUUGAUGUUGGACAAGGAAGACAACGUAAUGGGUUAGGUUUUCUCACAUCUCAGUUAAAGUAUAUUGGCAUGGAUCAUUCAAACAUGUUGAGCUUUCCUUUCCCCCUCAUGCUAGCCAAAUUCCUUGCACCAAGUAGAGAUACUACUUGUGCCUCCAAAUAUCCUUAAACCCAGUUUUGCCAUGAGAGUCCACUAUACCUACCUAUGGAUUGAGUAAGAUCAUUCAAGUAAAUUUUCAUCGGUGCAAGCAAUAAAAAUUGCUCUCUAAAUAUGUAUGAUCUAUUAGUGUGAAGAAAAUAAGCUUUAUACGAUCUUGUUAUGGAAGCAAUAAAAGCGACGGACUGCAUAAUAAAGGUCCAUAUACAAGUGGCAAUAUAAAGUGGCAUUCUUUUGCAUUAAGAUUUUGUGCAUCCAACCAUAAAAGCACAUGACAACCUCUGCUUCCCUCUGCGAAGGGCCUAUCUUUUACUUUAUGCAAGAGUCAAGGUCAUAUUCACCUUUCCCUUUUUCAUUUUAUCCUUUGGCAAGCACCUCGUGUUGGAAAGACCCUGAUAUAUAUAUCCAAUUGGAUGUAAGUUAGCAUGAACUAUUAUUGUUGACAUCACCCAAAGGUGAAUACGUUGGGAGGCAACACUAUAAGCCCUUAUCUUUCUCAGUGUCCGAUUAAAACUCCAUAACCAUCAGUAUUGCGUGAGUGUUAGCAAUCAUGGAAGACUAUAUGAUAGUUGAGUAUGUGGAGUUUGCUAAAUCAAAGCUCUGACAUAGACCCUUCCUAAAAAUAAGAUGAAUUGUAAUUGUUUGAUGACUAAGAAUGAAGUUUGCUAGUUUUCAAAAAAGUUUAUGGUCUAUGCACUAGAGUCAAUAAUCUAGUUCACAUCGCCAUGUGAUUUAACACCAAUAUUCAUAUCUGUAUAUGAUUAACACCCAUAGUUCACAUUGUCAUGUGACCAACACCCAAAGGGUUUACUAGAGUCAAUAAUCUAGUUCACAUCGCUAUGUGAUUAACACCCAAAGAGUACUAAGGUGUGAUCAUGUUUUGCUAGUGAGAGAAGUUUAGUCAACGAGUCUGUCACAUUCAGAGCCGUAUGUAUUUUGCAAAAAUAUUCUAUGUCUACAAUGUUUUGUACGGAGCUACUCUAGCUAAUCGCUCCCACUUUCAAUAUGUAUCCAGAUUGAUACUUAGAGUCAUCUGGAUCGGUGUAAAAGCUUGCACCAAUGUGACUCUUUACAACGGGCUCUUUUAUCACCUCCAUAAUCGAGAAAUAUUUCCUUAGUCCUCACUAAGGAUAUUCUUGACCACUGUCCAGUGAUCUACUCCUAGAUCAAAAUUGUACUCCCUUACCAAACUCAGAGCAAGGUAUACAAUAGAUCUGGUACAUAGCAUAGCAUACUUUAUAGAACCUAUGACUGAGGCAUAGAGAAUGACUUUUCAUUCUUUUCUAUUUUCUGCCAUGGUCAGGUUUUUGAGUCUUACUCAACUUCACACCUUGCAACACAGGAAAGAACUCCUUCUUUGACUGUUCCAUUUUGAGUUACUUCAAAAUCUUAUCAAGGUAUGUACUCAUUGAAAAAUCUUAUCAAGCGUCUUGAUCUAUUUCUAUAGAUCUUGAUUCUCAAUGUGUAAGCAGCUUCACCGAGGUCUUUCUUUGAAAAACUCUUUUCAAAUAUUCCUUCAUACUUUCCAGAAAAUUCUACAUUAUUUCCGAUCAACAAUAUGUUAUUCACAUAUACUUAUCAGAAAUGCUAUAGUGCUCCCACUCACUUUCUUGUAAAUACAGGCUUCACCGCAAGUCUAUAUAAAACUAUAUGCUUUGAUCAACUCAUCAAAGCGUAUAUUCCAACUCCGAGAUGCUUGCACUAGUCCAUAGAUGGAUCACUAGAGCUUGAACAUUUUGUUAGCACCUUUAGGAUUGAGAAAACCUUAUUGUUGCAUCAUAUACAACUCUUCUUUAAUAAAUCCAUUAAGGAAUGCAGUUUUGACAUCCAUUUGCCAGAUUUCAUAAAAUGUGGCAAUUGCUAACAUGAUUCGGACAGACUUAAGCAUCGACACGAGUGAGAAAAUCUCAUCGUAUUCAACACCUUGAACUUGUCGAAAAACCUUUUGCGACAAGUCGAGCUUUGUAGAUAGUAACACUACUAUCAGCGUCCGUCUUCCUCUUGAAGAUCCAUUUAUUUUCUAUGGCUUGCUGAUAUCGGGCAAGUCCACCAAAGUCCACACUUUGUUCUCAUACAAGGAUCCAAUCUCAGAUUUCAUGGCCUCAAGCCAUUUCGCGGAAUCUGGGCUCAUCAUCGCUUCCUCAUAGUUCAUAGGUUCGCCACGGUCAAGUAACAUGACCUCCAGAAUAGGAUUAUCGUACCACUCUGGUGCGGAUCUUACUCUGGAAGACCUACGAGGAUCUGUAGUAACUUAAUCUGAAGUUUCAUGAUCAUCAUCAUUAACUUCCUCACUAAUUGGUGUAGGAAUCACUGGAACUGAUUUCUGUGAUGAACUACUUUCCAGUUCGUAAGAAGGUACAAUUACCUUAUCAAGUUCUACUUUCCUCCCACUCACUUCUUUCAAGGGAAACGCCUUCUCUAAAAAGGAUCCAUUUUAGCAACGAAUAUCUUGCCUUCGGAGCUGUGAUAGAAGGUGUACCCAACAGUUUUCUUUGGGUAUUCUAUGAAGACGCACUUCUCCGAUUUGGGUUCGAGCUUACCAGGUUAAAACUUUUUCACAUAAGCAUCGCAGCUCCAAACUUUAAGAAACGACAGCUUAGGUUUAUUGCUAAACCAUAGUUCAUACGGUGUCGUCUCAGCGGAUUUAGAUGGUGCCCUAUUUAACGUGAAUGUAGUUAUCUCUAAUGCAUAACCCCAAAAUGAUAUUGUUAAAUCGGUAAGAAACAUCAUAAUCGCACCAUAUCAAAUAAAGUGCGGUUAUGAAGUUCGGACACACCGUUACGCUAUGGUGUUCCAGGUGGCAUGAGUUUGUGAAACUAUUCCACAUUGUUUUAACUGAAGGCCAAACUCGUAACUCAAAUAUUCAUCUCCACGAUCAGAUCGCAGAAACAUUAUUUUUCUUGUUACAAUGAUUUUACACUUCACUCUGAAAUUCUUUGAACCUUUCAACUAUUUCAGAUUUAUGUUUCAUCAAGUAGAUAUACCCACAUCUGCUCAAAUCAUCUGUGAAGGUCAGAAAAUAACGAUACCUGCCACGAGCCUUAAUACUCAUUGGUCUGCAUACAUCAGUAUGUAUUAUUUCCAACAAGUUUGUUGCUCGUUCCAUUGUUCCGAAGAACGGAGUUUUAGUCAUCUUGCCCAAAAGGCACGAUUCGCAAGCAUCAAAUGAUUCAUAACCAAGUGAUUCCAAAAGUCCAUCUUUAUGGAGUUUCUUCAUGCGCUUUAGACCGAUAUGACCCAAACGGCAGUGCCACAAAUAAGUUGCACUAUCAUUAUCAACUUUGCAUAUUUUGGCAUCAAUAUUAUGUAUACAUGUAUCACUACGAUCGAGAUCCAACAAACUAUUUUCAUUGGGUGUAUGACCAUCGAAGGUUUUAUUCAUGUAAACAGAACAACAAUUAUUCUCUGACUUUAAAUGAAUAACCGUAUUGCAAUAAACAUGAUCAAAUCAUAUUCAUGCUCAAUGUAAACGCCAGAUAACAUUUAUUUAGGUUGAACACUAAUCUCGAAAAUAUAGGGAGUGUGCGAUGAUGAUCAUAUCAAUCUUGGAACCACUUCCAACACACAUCGUCACUUCACCCUCAACUAGUUUCUGUUUAUUCUGUAACUCCUGUUUCGAGUUACUAAUCUUAGCAACCGAAUAAGUAUCAAAUACCCAGGGUUUACUAUAAACACUAGUAAGGUACACAUCAAUAACCUGUAUAUCAAAUAUACCCUUGUUCACUUUGCCAUCCUUCUUAUCUACCAAAAUUCAGGGCAUUUCCACUUCCAAUGACCAUUUCCUUUGCAGUAGAAGCACUCAGUUUCAGGCUUUGGUCCAGCUUUGAGCUUCUUCGCGGGAGUGACAACUUGCUUGCCAUUCUACUUGAAGUUCCCUUUCUUUCCCUUUGCCCUUUUCUUGAAACUAGUGGUCUUGUCAAUCAUCAACACUUGAUCCUCUUUCUUGAUUUCUACCUUCGUCAAUUUCAACAUCAUGAAGAGUUCGGGAAUCGUUUUCGUCAUCCCUUGCAUACUAUAGUUCAUCACGAAGUUCUAGUAACUUGGUGAUGGUGACUAGAGAACUCUGUCAAUCACUAUCUUAUCUGGAAGAUUAACUCCCACUUGAUUCAAGCGAUUGUAGUACCCAGACAAUAUGAGCACAUGCUCACUAAUUGAGUGAUUCUCCUCCAUAUUUUAGCUAUAGAACUUGUUGGAGACUUCAUAUCUCUCAACUCGGGUAUUUGCUUGAAAUAUUAACUUCAACUCCUGGAACAUCUCAUAUGGUCCAUGACGUUCAAAACGUCUUUGAAGUCCCGAUUCUAAGCCGUUAAUCAUGGUGCACUAAACUAUCAAGUAGUCAUCAUAUUGAGCUAGUCAAACGUUCAUAACGUCUGCAUCUGCUCCUGCAAUAGGUCUGCCACCUAGCGGUGCAUCAAGGACAUAAUUCUUCUCUGCGGCAAUGAGGAUAAACCUCAGAUCACGGAUCUAAUCCGCAUCAUUGCUACUAAUAUCUUUCAACAUAGUUUUUCUCUAGGAACAUAUCAAAAAUAAACAUAGGGAAGCAACAAAGCGAGCUAUUGAUCUACAACAUAAUUUGCAAAAUACUAUCAGGACUAAGUUCAUGAUAAAUUAAAGUUCAAUUAAUCAUAUUACUUAAGAACUCCCACUUAGAUAGACAUCCCUCUAAUCAUCUAAGUGUUCACGUGAUCCAAAUCAACUAAACCAUGUCCGAUCAUCACGUGAGAUGGAGUAGUUUUCAAUGGUGAAAAUCAUUAUGUUGAUAAUCUACUAUAUGAUUCACGCUCGACCUUUCGGUCUCAGUGUUCCGAGGCCACAUCUGUAUAUGCUAGGCUCGUCAAGUUUAACCUGAGUAUUCCGCGUGUGCAACUGUUUUGCAUCCGUUGUAUUUGAACGUAGAGCCUAUCACACCCGAUCAUCAUGUGGUGUCUCAGCACGAAGAACUUUUGCAACGGUGCAUACUCAGGGAGAACACUUAUACCUUGAAAUUUAGUGAGAGAUCAUCUUAUAAAUCUACCGUCGAACUAAGCAAAAUAAGAUGUAUAAAAGAUAAACAUCAUAUGCAAUCAAAAUAUGUGACAUGAUAUGACCAUGAUCAUCUUGCGCCUUUGAUCUCCAUCUCCAAAGUACUAUCAUGAUAUCUAUCAUCACCGGCACGACACCAUGAUCUCCAUCAUCUUGAUCUAUAUCAAUAUGUCGUCACAUGGUCGUCUCGCCAAUUAUUGCUCUUGCAACUAUUGCUAUCGCAUAGCGAUAAAGUAAAGCAAUUAUUUGGCGCUUGCAUCUUAUGCAAUAAAGAGACAACCAUAAGGCUUCUGCCAAUUGCCGAUAACUUCAAAAAAAACAUGAGCAUCUCAUACAAUAACUUAUAUCUCAUCACGUCUUGACCAUAUCACAUCACAACAUGUCCUGCAAAAACAAGUUAGACGUCCUCUACUUUGUUGUUGCAAGUUUUACGUGGCUGCUACGGGCUGGGCAAGAACCGUUCUUACCUACGCAUCAAAACCACAACAAUAGUUUGUCAAGUUAGUGUUGUUUUAACCUUCUCAAGGACCGGGCGUAGCCACACUCGGUUCAACUAAAGUUGGAGAAACUGACACCCGCCAACCACCUGUGUGCAAAGCACGUCGGUAGAACCAGUCUCGCGUAAGCGUAAGCGUCAUGUCUGUUCGGGCCGCUUCAUCCAACAAUACCGUCGAACCAAAGUAUGACAUGUUGGUAAGCAGUAUGACUUGUAUCGCCCACAACUCACUUGUGUUCUACUCGUGCAUAUAACAUCUACGCAUAAAACCAGGCUCGGAUGCCACUGUUGGGGAACGUAGUAAUUUCAAAAAAAUCCUACGCACACGCAAGAUCAUGGUGAUGUAUAGCAACGAGAGGGGAGAGUGUUGUCCACGUACCCUCGUAGACCGAAAGCGGAAGCGUUAGCACAACGCGGUUGAUGUAGUCGUAUGUCUUCACGGUCUGACCGAUCAAGCACCGAAAGCACGACACCUCCGAGUUCUUGCACACUUCAGCUCGAUGACGUCCCUCGAACUCCGAUCCAGCCGAGUGUCGAGGGAGAGUUUCGUCAGCACGACGGUGUGGUCACGAUGAUGAUGUUCUACCGACGCAGGGCUUUGCCUAAGCACCGCUACGAUAUUAUCGAGGAGGACUAUGGUGGAGGGGGGCACCGCACACGGCUAAGAGAUCAAUGAUCAAUUGUUGUGUCUAUGGGGUGCCCCCUGCCCCCGUAUAUAAAGGAGCAAGGGGGGAGGCGGCCGACCAAGGAGGAGAGCGCGCCAAGGAGGGAGUCCUACUCCCACUGGGAGUAGGACUCCUCCUUUCCUUGUUAGAGUAGGAGAGAAGGAAAGAGGAGGAGAGGGAAAAGAAAAGGGGGGCUGCACCCCUUGUCCAAUUCGGACCAGAGGGGGGGCCUCCUUCCUUUUGGCCUCUCUCCUCUAUUUUCGUAUGGCUCAAUAAGGCCCAUAUACUCGCGAAUUCCCGUAACUCUCCGGUACUCCGAAAAAUACCCGAAUCACUCGCAACCUUUCCGAAGUCUGAAUAUAGUCGUCCAAUAUAUCGAUCUUUACGUCUCGACCAUUUCGAGACUCCUCAUCAUGUCCCCAAUCUCAUCCGGGACUCCGAACUACCUUCGAUACAUCAAAACACAUAAACUCAUAAUAUAACCGUCAUCUAACUUUAAGCGUGCGGACCCUACGGGUUCAAGAACUACGUAGACAUGGCCGAGACUCAUCUCCGAUCAAUAACCAAUAGCGGAACCUGGAUGCUCAUAUUGGCUCCUACAUAUUCUACGAAGAUCUUUAUCGGUCAAACCGCAUAACAACAUACGUUGUUCCCUUUGUCAUCGGUAUGUUACUUGCCUGAGAUUCGAUCGUCGGUAUCUCAAUAACUAGUUCAAUCUCGUUACCGGCAAGUCUCUUUACUCAUUCCGUAAUACAUUAUCCUGUAACUAACUCAUUAGUUACAAUGCUUGCAAGGCUUUAGUGAUGUGCAUUACCGAGUGGGCCCAGAGAUACCUCUCCGACAAUCGGAGUGACAAAUCAUAAUCUCGAAAUACGCCAACCCAACAAGUACCUUCGGAGACACCUGUAGAACACCUUUAUAAUCACCCAGUUACGUUGUGACGUUUGGUAGCACACAAAGUGUUCCUCCGGUAAAAGGGAGUUGCAUAAUCUCAUAGUUAUAGGAACAUGUAUAAGUCAUGAAGAAAACAAUAGCAACAUACUAAACAAUCAAGUGCUAAGCUAAUGGAAUGGGUCAAGUCAAUCACAUCAUUCUCCUAAUGAUGUGAUCCCGUUAAUCAAAUGACAACUCAUGUUUAUGGUUAGGAAACUUAACCAUCUUUGAUUAAUGAGCUAGUCAAGUAGAGGCAUACUAGUGACACUAUGUUUGUCUAUGUAUUCACACAUGUAUUAUGUUUCCGGUUAAUACAAUUCUAGCACGAAUAAUAAACAUUUAUCAUGAAAUAAGGAAAUAAAUAAUAACUUUAUUAUUGCCUCUAGGGCAUAUUUCCUUCACCAAGAAAUUAUCAUCUUUUGAUGGUGAACUUUUGGGAAAGCGAGACAUUACGAAAUAUAAAAGCAUAGUUGGUGCACUUCAAUAGUUGACACUUAUGGGAACUGGAAUUUCUUUUCCACUAAGAGAGUGUGUCAGUAUUUAUAUGCACCAACCAUAGUACAUUGGCCAACCCAUCUUAAGGAAAAUCUAGAAACUUUGAUUCUUUGACUUACAUUUAGUAAAUCACCAUCCACCUUGGUGAGCGCUUUUUCAUAUGCAGAUUGGGCCGGAUGCUGAUGAUAGAAGGUCAAUUGGUGGUUUUGCUAUUUUAUUUGGACUAAACUUGAUGUCCAGGCGUGCUAAGAAACAAGCAACCAUAUCAAGGUCAAGUACUAAAGCAGGAUAUAAAGCUAUUGCAAAUGCAAAUGCAAAAUUUAUUUGGGUGUAGUCUAUGCUCAAGGGACUUGUAAUAACACAAGAUCAAACUCCAUGUCUUUGGCAUGGCAAUUCGGGUGCCACAUAUUUGUAAGCAAAUCAUGUCUUCCAUGCCAGUACAAAACACAUAGAGAUAGAUAUCAUUUUGUGAGGGAAUAGAAGCACAAAAAAUAUUAGAGAUUUAGUUUGUCCACUCCGGGUAUGAAGUUGCAUAUGGUUUCACAAAGGCUUUAAGGGACAUAAAAUCCUUCACACGUAAUCUCAACUUAAUAAAGUGAUUAAGGGGGUUGUUUGAAUAUGUAUAGAAUCUCUUGUAGACUCUAGAAGUCUCCUAUAAUGUUCAACACAUGCAUGCAAACUAGCACAAUUAUAGUUGUAACUGGUCCUUCCUUGAUUAAUGCAUUGUGCUUCUCCUUCCAUGUAAUGUCCGGAUGGUGGAUUUUGCCAUCAAUAUCAAUAGACUCAUGCGGCCACCCUCGGGAGGUGGAAUACUUCUCCAUCUUUGCGUGAAUUUUGAUAAAGCACUUGACAUUGUGAUGGCCAUAAGACGAGGCAUAUCACUAGUCGCUUGGGUGUAGGUGCAUUUCAACAGUGGCAGCUCAGGACCUAAUGAAGGCAAUGACUAGGGGAGAAUGACCAAGAGGUUAGGUUUAGGUGUGUAAACAAUUGGAUUGGGCUUGGGCCAAGAUAAAGGUAUACGGGCUUUAGCUUUUCAAAAUUGGCUGCAUAUAGGUAGAAUGUACACAGAAAUUUCCAUCUCCCUACACGUUCCACGCCGGAAGGAGACCAUAUGUUUUACUUCCGUUUCCGUUCCGCAAAACCCUUUUUCAGUUUCUAUAAUUUUCUCCGUUUCCACUUUUUGCUGAACUACCGAGUAAAUUCCGCACCGCGCUCAUCUCUUUUUUAAUGAUACCUAUAUUUUUAGAGCUUGCUCAUCAAUAUCCUUUUCCUUUUGAAGAACAUCCUUCAUUUUUAUUUUUAUUUUGUGUUGAGAAACGCUCAUCCCUCUAUCCGCGGCACGGUCGUAAUGCGGGUCAUUAAUGCGGAUCGUUUGACUGGGCCUAGAGAUCUUGCUAGGCCCAGCCCAUCAGAGUGAAGGAAACCGACUCCGGGUCGAAUUCCAAUCCACCAACCCUGCGGUUGCCAAACUCGUACGGCUCCAGGUGGAACUCGGAUUUGAGGAGAUCAACAGUAGUAAUCCAGGCGUUGUUGGCGUAGUUCGUACGCCUGGAUGCCGAUGGGAACUCGGACUGUCAGGCUUAAACGCGUCCUCGCCGGUGCUAAUAUAUAGGCUUGACUUCCCUCCGAAAUCCCCAGCUAUUCUUUCCUUCCUCCCUCCCUUCAUAAUUCUGCCCCCGCCCAACAAAUCGCCAUGGCUCCAAUCCGACGCGCCGCGCAGCGGCCGGACUUCGCCUCCCACCCUUCUGACCUCGAGCUCAUCAGCACGUACCUCAUCCCCUGGGUCAGCACCGGCGAGCGCCCCUGGAAGUUCAUCCACGAGGCCGACGUCUACGCCGCCACGCCGCAGGACCUCACCCGCGCCUACGCCCCGGCCACGGCCAGCGACGGCCAGGAGAGCUGGUACUUCUUCACGACGCUGCGGGCCAAGAGCCGCCGCGGCCAGCGCAAGUCGCGCACCGUCGGAUCCGGGGACCACGGCUGCUGGCACUCGGAGCGCGCCGCCAAGCCCCUCUUCGCCGGCAUCGGCCACAGCCGCCAGAUCGGGUACCGCCAGGCCUUCUCCUUCGCGACCAAGGAGGACGGCCGCCUUGUGCGCUCGGGGUGGCUCAUGGCCGAGAUCGGCCUCAACCCCGACGCCUCCGCGGAGGAGGAGCUCGUCCUCUGCAAGGUGUAUCGGAGCCCGCGCGUCGGGACAGGCCAGAGAUCUACGGCGCCGGCCGCUACCGGAGUUGGACCCGUCAGGAUUGGAAGGGGAAAGGCGAGCGAGGAGGACUCUUCCUCGUCUGAAGAGGGGACGCCAAGGGCUGCUGGGCCCGGCUGCUAUUCGGCCCAGCAGCCCGCUCGAGUCUCCGCGUCCACUUCAGGUACCCUGUCCAUGGAGGAGUCCGACUCCGAGCAGGGUUCCACCAGCCAAGGAGGCGACGGCGGAGUGAUUGGCACGUCGCCGUCCGCCACUCCGCCUCGGGUUCCCCGUUCCGAGGCCCUUCGAGCUGCUCAUCUUCCCCGAAUCCCGACGGUUCCCGCGGCGCAGCGCCCGGACUUCGCUUCUCACCCUUCGGACCAAGUGCUGAUCAAGUCCUACCUCACCCCGCGUGUCGCCUCCGGCCAACACCCGUGCCAGUUCACGCACGACGCCGACGUCUACACCGCCAGCCCCGGCGCCCUCACCAGGAAGUACCCCCCGGCGAUGGCAAGCGACGGUGAGAAGGCCUGGUACUUCUUCACCCUCCUGCCGGCCAAGAGCGCCCACGGCCAGCGGCGGCCGCGCACGGUGGGCACCGGGGAGGGGUGCUGGCACUCGGAGGCCGGCGUGAAGCCUGUUCUCGACGGCGGCCACCCGAUAGGAUGGCGACAGUUCUUCUCCUUCAUGACCAAGGAGGAAGGCCAGCGUGUCCGGAGCAUCCGGUCGGGAUGGAUCAUGGUUGAGAUCGGCCUCGACCAUGGCCAACAGGAGGGCCCCUCGGACGAGCUCGUCCUGUGCAAGGUGUACCGCAGCCCGCGCGCCGGCCCGGUGGAACCCCCGGCGGCGGCUGGACGAAAGAGGAAAUCCGGCGACAACUACUCUGCCUCAGCGGCGCCCGUGCUGACGCUGGGGCCCGCGCCCGGUGCCAGGAAUUCUACGGCGGCGUCGACAUCUUCCUCUGGGCACAAGAAGAGGAAGACCCACAGCAGGAACUCCGGUCACGUGAUGAGGCCCGCGCGCGGCGUCCUGAAGCUGACGCGGCCGGCGACGUCUGGGCGCAAGAAGAGCACCAGCGCGGCAUGCACUCGCUGUGGGAUGGAGCCAGCGGAGUCGCACCGCGGAACGCCCGAUGCUCCUGCCGAGGAGGAAGACGGAUCGGAGACGGAUCUUGAUGAGGACGACCCUAUGACCGGCGACUCCGGCGCACCCCAUUGCCUCAAACCAGGUGAAUCUUCAGGAUGCACCAGACCGUUCUACCAGUUCAAGAUCUGACAACUAGAUAGACGAUCCCCAGUUUUCUCCUGAAACAUGCUUUCCCAGCGAAUUUUGUAUCCACCACCAGGGGAGGGGAUAGGUUUAAGUAGGGGGGAAAUCCCAUGGUUCUGCCUGCAAUUUACUCUUCGUUCUUGGUAUGCACAUCGGAUUAGGUAGAUAUAGGCAUUCUGGUUUGUCAAAUUGUUGUACUUCUUGGCGUACAAAGAAAUCGUUCGGCAACUUGAUCAAAUUGUACAUUAGCAGCUUCCUCAAUCGCAAAUAAAUUGUACAACAAUGUAGCAGUUUUCUUCGAUCAGAACAGAGCAUUGCAUUGACAGUAGCCAAUAUAAAGUUUUUGGCAAUUGGAUAAUUGCAAGAGAGCAUAAUACGUAGUGCAACACUUGAAUAUACAUAUGAAAUAAUACUGGUGGAAAGCUUGCAUUCAGGAAGUGCAGAGCUUCCUCACAUAAGCUUCCAAGUGAAAAUACGGCAACCAUAAUUGCAAUACCUCAGCAGAUCACAUUACAGACAUUUGACACUAAGAAGCACGUGUAACUACACUAACAUUUGGGAUAUUUGAGGUACUUGACAUGAAUAAUUUAGACCAUCGACAUCAUCGCAACUUAGCUCGGUUCAUUUUCUUUACUCCGGAAGAAGGUCAAUCUUAUUUGUUCUGACCUGUCUGCUCUAGGGAUCUUGGAGCUGCAGGCAGAUGGACACAUCUCAGUUCAGAGCAUGUUUGUAAUCCAAAGUUUUACCUAAUAAUGAUAUAUUCUACAGAGACCUAAUGUUCAGGUAUAAAGGUUAAACAGUCAAUGUGUUGGUAGCAGAUGGUGAAAGUACAUUAUAAGUUGAACUUUCAGGUUCCAACAUAUCCCAGCUAUUGGUUUCUGUCAGCCAACAGUUCAUUAUCAUAUCAGCCAAGGUUUCUGUCACUUAUGGAGUUAUGGUAGCCAAGAGAAACUAUUUUCUGCAUACAAGUGUUUCACCAGCUAUAAUAUUUUAAUUUAGGUUCCACUAUCAUCAAUCACUAUACAUUUUUAUUUUUAUGUGCGCAGGGUUGACACUAGUGGAAAUAAAUCAUAUGCAACACAAUGGGAAACAUAAAUACAAGUACUGUUCCAUAUGGUAAAAACUAUGCAAC